GAGCCGAUUCGAAUAGUCACAUUCGGGCGGCGCGGUUUUUAGCAGAAAUUGUUUUCUUUAAGUUCGACUACAUCGUGGUGGUAAAUACCGGCAUGAGGGCAGACGGUUUGACCAAAAAAUACACCAGUCCUGUAGCCGUAAGCAAACAGCCCUCUGAAAGGGUAUGAGGACCCAGGGUUUGCUCGAACGUGUUUACUAUAUAAUACCAUAAUAAAUUAAAACAAUCCGUACCUUUCGGUCGAGAGCAAUGGCACAGAAACAAAUCAGUAACCUUAAAACGCCAAUCGUUCA